rnacentral:rRNA from 1 species
GUGGGGAAUAUUGGGCAAUGGGGGAAACCCUGACCCAGCGACGCCGCGUGAGGGAAGAAGGCCUUAGGGUCGUAAACCUCUGUUGUGUGGGAAGAAGAGCGUGACGGUACCACACGAGGAAGUCCCGGCUAACUACGUGCCAGCAGCCGCGGUAAUACGUAGGGGACGAGCGUUGUCCGGAUUUACUGGGCGUAAAGGGCGCGUAGGCGGUCGUUUAAGUCAGCUGUGAAAUGGUUUGGCUUAACCGGAUCAUGCGGUUGAAACUGGAUGACUGGAGUGCUGGAGAGGCAAGUGGAAUUCCCAGUGUAGCGGUGAAAUGCGUAGAUAUUGGGAAGAACACCGGUGGCGAAGGCGACUUGCUGGCCAGCAACUGACGCUGAGGCGCGAAAGCCAGGGGAGCAAACGGGAUUAGAAACCCGAGUAGUCC